rnacentral:lncRNA from 1 species
AGAUAACGCGUUGGCCCUUAAGAAAGAUGGCAUCUUUCCGCCUUCUCUGCCCCCUUCCAAGAUGGCUGCCCUAAUGUACACUUGGGACCUUGCCUGGCGCCUCUUCCGGGCUUGGCAGCGGGCGGGGUCCAUUGAGUAAAGCCUUGCGUGCCUGCGCCCGCGACGGAGGCGCGCUUCAAAGCGCAGGCGCGGGGAGGGGGUGGGGGAGGAGGGAAAGCGGCGAGUAAGAUGGAAGAUGAGGAGGUCGCUGAGAGCUGGGAAGAGGCGGCAGACAGCGGGGCCAACCAGGAUCUCCCAACCCGAAGACAGCAGGCAGCCCAAUAAUGUGAUCAGACAGCCUUUGGGUCCUGAUGGGUCUCAAGGCUUCAAACAGCGCAGAUAAAUGCAGGCAAGAAAAGAUGCCGCCGUUGCUGCCGUCACCGCCUCCUGGGUCGUCCGCCACGGGUUGCACUGCCGUGGCAGACAGCUGGACUUGAGCAGAGGGAACGACCUGACUUACUUGCACUGUGAUCCCCCUUGCUCCGCCCACUGUGACCUUGAACCCCAUGCACUGUGACCUCCCCCCUUCUCCCCCUUCCCACUGUGAUUGGCACAUCGACAAGGGCUGUCCCAAGUCAAUGGAAAGGGAAAGGGUGGGGGUUAGGGGAAGGUUGGGGGGACCCAGCAAGGACUCAGAGAGUCAGACAGUGCCACUUGGCCACUUGGGGUAAAGCCAGUGCCAGCAAUAACAGUUUAUCAUGCUCAUUAAUUUGGGAUUUCAAAACACAAAUGAAAACUCACACCCACCCACCCCCAAGUGCAUGUCUCCAUCACUUAAAAAGUAAGUUCCAUUUGAAAAUAUCCUUUCUUUUUUUUUUCUUCCUAUUUUUGUUUGUUUAUACAAAUAUCUGAUUUGCAAGAAAAAGUGCAUGGGAGGGGUUUUAGUGGUUUAAUGAAUUUUUAAUUAAGAAAGGGUAGUUUGGUAGUCUACUUAAAAAUGUUUCUGGGAAAUUCACUAGAAACAUUAACCAAUAGGAUUUUGGUGAGCUUAGCUUCUGUAUUCCUACUGCCGCCCAGAAAAGGGGCAGGGCUCUGCAGCCGCCAGGACAGACGAGCACCCCAUGCCUAUACCUCCCUCCCCGAGCUAAGUCCCAGGGCAUCUGGGCCUUGCCUGGAGACUGGGCUAGCUCUGUAGGCUCGGAGAGCCUGGGGAGGGUGCCAACCCCACCUCUAGUAUUUUGGGAGAUAGGGAAAGUGAACCGACUUCCCCUUCCCAUACCCCUCAGGGUGGUUCCCUACCAGCCAGGCUUACUACUUCUAGAAGAAAGCAGAGUGCCAGGGAGUGAGAUUGCAUCCCUGGGCUUAGAAGUGACGGAGAGAAGACUUGUUUAGUAUUUUGCCAUCAGCACAAGGAAAACCAGGAGAGAGUCUGCCUCCAGGACUCUGAGCCUUCUGCCUCGUAUGUUCAGAAGGUGGAUAGGUCUUCCCACUCCAGCAUGGCUUGAACUCUUAGGGGUCUGCAGUGCUCCAUCUCCAUUGGUGGCCCCAGCUCAGUAACUAUACCUGGUACAUUUCCUGUGUGCAAUCAGUACCUUGAAGGCAGAACAUUCUGAAUAAAGUUGGAAAAAGAACAGCUUUGCUUUGCAAAGAUUGAUGACAGACUGGUUCCUCAGAGGCCUAGGCUACCCGUCACCCCUUUUUCCAGAGCGAGGGCCUGGAAUGAAGGCAGUUUAUCCUCUGUCCCUGGAGCCUGGGGUUUGCUUUGGCUCCUUGAGGUGGAAGAGACUAAGAGGGCAGCUGCCCAGAGCAGCUGUGUGUACCUGGCUCCUCUCAGGCUUCCUGAUCCCUUCCGUUGCACUGCGCCUUAUCCCUCAGCCAGCCAGACAGCCUCCCUGCUCCUGACCAGCAGAUACGUUUCGGAGUGGUUGGUGUGGUUUUUGUGAUGAGGGCAGCACGUGGUGGCCAAGGUGGCAAGCUGAGUCUCACAGGCUCACUCCCUCGUUGGUUCCCUGUGGGAAUGGUAGGCCAGGCCCAGUAAGCCAUGCCCCAACACGUCCUCUCCUCCGGAGGAAGGGCCAGCUGCCAGCUGAGUCAGCAGCUAGUCCAUAGCACAGCCUUAUAACUGUAAAGCCAGGCAUUGCCCAUGAGCAGAGCUGGAACCAGAGCUUCAGUCAGUAAGAGGGAGGAUUACCUUCAGGAGAAGGCAAGGAAGAAAACUGGCUGCUAUCUUUAUAGUUCCACUGCCCUAACCAAGUGUCCACAUUCUAAAUGUGUAGUGUCCAUCCCUUAUGUAAUAGUGGUUUCCCGCCCAAAGUGAGACUUUCCUUUUAAUUGGAGAAGGGUAUAGAGGUAGUCCAGGUGGGAACGCCAGAAGUGCUGAUUGCCCAGCCAUUGGGACCACCUGUUCUUGCCCCACUACCCUCUAGUGGGAGGCCAAAGUAAAGGCUGGCUGGUGGGUGUCUGUGGAUUGAGGAUGUGGCAGGGACUGGUCCUCCCACCUCCCUCUGGCCAAAGAUGGGCUUUGCCCGCUGUGUGCCUGUCACCACCCACCAGCAGUCAUGCCCUGGGCUUCCCAAAUGGAGAGGUAGCAGGCAACGUUUUUAAAAAGAAAGAAAACAGGAAACUGUAUUGUGUCGGGGGAGGCGGGAGGGAGAUGAGGAAACGGUUUGGAUUUUGUGUGUGGGAGGGUAUUUUUUGGGGGUAGUUGUCUGUAACUUUCCUAAGUGCUUUUUUUCCUUUUCUUUUUUAAAGUAAGUUGCAGGCUUUGGCUUGGAAAACCCCAGGGGGAUGGGGGGCAGAAACCUGAGGCUGCUGCCCCUUUAUCUGCCUUCACGGUACUGUCCCCUUCCCCCAGCUCCUCCCUGACCCCAUGGGCCAGGCCUCAGACCUUCCAGCUAACCGCUUCCCAUGAGCCACUACUCUGAUGUCAGCCUAUAACCAAAGGAGCUGGGGGGUCCAGGCCUGGUGACCAACCUUUCUCAGCCCACUCAAUCAGGGUGCUCCCCACCUGCAGGCAGGAGGCAACACCCUAUCUGCUACCAUCAGCCCCUUCCAGAGCCCAUCUGCCCCGCCCAGCCCUGCCCUGCCCAGCCAUACCCUGCUCUGCCCCAUCUGGGGGUGCCCUGCUCAGGGAUGGGCUGGCAGGGCUGUACCCAGCCUCCCUGGUAAGCAGAGACUCAAGAAACCUCUGGGGUCCUGUUUUCUGGUCGUGUGAUCCCAGGGGUGCACAUGGGCCCCUUGGGUGUCUGAACAGAAGGGCAUGGGAGGGAGGGCUGCACCCCUGCAGUCUUACUCUGCUGGUGUAGCGGGCAGCUGCCCACUCCCACCCCACCCUGCACCGCGGGCUCCUGAGUCGGCAGAUUAAGCAUUUUAUAAAUUGUAUUUUAAAUACAUGUUUUAAACUUGUCAGAU